UACGGAGGGUGCGAGCGUUGUCCGGAAUCACUGGGCGUAAAGGGCGCGUAGGUGGCCUGUGGAAGUCUGCGGUGAAAGCCCGGCGCUCAACGCCGGGUCGGCCGUGGAUACUCUCGGGCUCGAGCUUACUAGAGGCGGAUGGAAUUCCGGGUGUAGCGGUGGAAUGCGUAGAGAUCCGGAAGAACACCGGUGGCGAAGGCGGUCUGCUGGGGUAAUGCUGACACUGAUGCGCGACAGCGUGGGGAGCAAACAGG
rnacentral:rRNA from 1 species